rnacentral:lncRNA from 1 species
UAUAAGAGUACUUUCAAGCAUGUCCUAUGCUAUAAAAAGGAUUGGGAUACCUUGCUACUCCUUUUCUACUAUUGUUACUUGCCACGUGUUACGAAUUACCUUGCUACAAAACUAUCUAUCACUAUUGUUUACAACACUUGCAGAGAAUACCUUGCUGAAAACUGCUUAUGAUUUCCUUCUACUCCUCGUUGAGUUCGACAAUCCUACAUAUGGAAAGGACUACAAUUGAUCCACUAUACUUGUGGGUCAUUACGCACCUUCACCUCGCCUUGGUCUCCAUCGCCGAACGCAAUGUCUACGCCCAUCGUCUCCCUACUGC